AGCCAUUACACAGCCUCCUAACACUCACCUCACACACUUAGAAAUUUUAUCGGUUUUUUGGAAAUUUCUCUCACACAUAUGAACAACAAGAACGUUUUGAGAGAGAAAGCACAGGGGUUCUAAACUCUCAAAAUGACACCCCAAAGGUCCUAUUUAUAGCCACGGAUUAUAUGCAAACCCCUUGACAAGUGCCCAUUCAUGUGUCCCCACAAAAGCUCCAUUUUCAUGCAUUGGUUGUAUCUGAUGACUUUCGUUUGGCUUUAUUUCACUCGAUUACCGAUUUUGACCAUAUCGACCAAAAAUGUGUUCCUCUGAACCAACUUGGUUUUGACUCGACAAAACUCCAUAUCAUGUCUCCAAAUACCUUAGAAAAUGUUCCUAGGUUAACUCCUGGAAUCACAUUUGUCAUCUUUGCCCUUUGGCCGCUACCAAAACUCUGCGUCGACCAUCUCCAAAACCUUUAUCGACCAUUUGUUGUUUCGCCUGUACCAACUUGAUUCUGAAUCGAUCCAGUGUCUUCAUUUGAUCCAUAAAGAUGAUUAGCAUUGAGCCUUACUUGAUUUUCUGACAU
rnacentral:lncRNA from 1 species